rnacentral:rRNA from 1 species
GUUUCCUACGGGACGCAGCAGUAGGGAAUCUUCCACAAUGGGCGCAAGCCUGAUGGAGCAACCCCGCGUGAGUGAAGAAGGGUUUCGGCUCGUAAAGCUCUGUUGUUGGAGAAGAACGUGCGUGAGAGUAACUGUUCACGCAGUGACGGUAUCCAACCAGAAAGUCACGGCUAACUACGUGCCAGCAGCCGCGGUAAUACGUAGGUGGCAAGCGUUGUCCGGAUUUAUUGGGCGUAAAGCGAGUGCAGGCGGU